AAAGUCGUAACAAGGUAACCGUAGGUGAACCUGCGGUUGGAUCAUUAAUAAAUUUGGAAGACCUUAAGGUCUCUCUAACAUUAUGUGAAUAGUUUAUAAAUUUUGUAGUCUUUAACAACCUACAAAUCGUAUACUUUGUAUUAUAUUUUUAGUCUUAAACUUUUAAUGAAAAAUUAAAAACAACUUUUGACAACGGAUCUCUAGGCUCUC
rnacentral:misc_RNA from 1 species